rnacentral:rRNA from 1 species
UACAGAGGGUGCGAGCGUUGUCCGGAAUCACUGGGCGUAAAGGGCGCGUAGGUGGCGGCCCAAGUCUGUGGUGAAAGCUCGCCGCUUAACGGCGAGUCGGCCACGGAGACUGGGUGGCUCGAGCACUGUAGGGGCAGACGGAAUUCCGGGUGUAGCGGUGGAAUGCGUAGAGAUCCGGAAGAACACCAGUGGCGAAGGCGGUCUGCUGGGCAGUUGCUGACACUGAGGCGCGACAGCGUGGGGAGCAAACAGG